GAUGAAGAACGCAGCGAAAUGCGAUAAUUAAUGUGAAUUGCAGAAUUCAGUGAAUCAUCGAGUCUUUGAACGCACAUUGCGCCCCUUGGUAUCCCGAGGGGCAUGCCUGUUCGAGCGUCAUUUCACCACUCAAGCCUGGCUUGGUGUUGGGCGACGUCCUCUUUGGGGACGCGCCUCGAAACGCUCGGCGGCGUGGCACCGGCUUUAAGCGUAGCAGAAUCUUUCGCUUUGGAAGUCGGGGCCCCGUCUGCCGGAAGACCUGCUCGCAAGGUUGACCUCGGAUCAGGCAGGGAUACCCGCUGAACUUAAGCAUAUCAAUAAGCGGAGGA
rnacentral:misc_RNA from 1 species